AUCUAUUUGCCUGGUGGAAAACAGAAGCCCUCACGAAGGGAGAUCAGUGCAAGACAGCUGCAUCACUGAAAUUACUCAGUAUAAGUGGAGAACCAACCGGAAAGAAUGGAAAACAGAAAUUAAUCAGAGAAUGUAACAAGGUCCUAAUGGGAUAAUCUCCUUCGCAACUAGAUAGAUCAUCUAAAUGAUCACCUUUUGAAACAAGAGUUCUCCGGUAUCAAUCACUACACUGUUCUAAGUUGGAAAUGGGAGCAAACUGCCUCUCUUACUCUCAGAUCCAUUUGGAUCUAACAGGAGGUCCCAGCCAAACAAACAGAUAGCCAAAGAAACAGCAGAACUUACCAAAUGGAUCAUGCGUGCAUGUGGUGCGUCAAGCGCCCAAUCCUCUUACAGCUUUAUCCUUCCAGGCUUCAAUUUCAUCUCAGAAUGAUUGAACCCCUGAGCUUGGAAGCUGGAAGUCUUGAGCUGCUGGAGACUUUCACUUGGAUGGCUCAAGCUUUUGAGAGCACUCCUCGGUUUUAGGUUGAAGCAAUGGAGCACAUACUUCAGGCUAUUUUAUUCGAUAACAGCUCAGCUCGAUUGUGGUGUAUGCUGUAUAAUAUAGACAGGCAGUAACUCCUAUCACUUUCUACAGUCUUGUGCCCAAUCAUGUCGGCCGGUGGUACCAGCUCUCCUUUGACUCGAUCUGUCCACUAGGCGUCAUAUCUUAUAAUAAAGGGCAUUGCUCGAAAAAAAAAUCAUAUGAAGGGCAAAAAUUCAAAAGAGAAUAGGAUAAAACAUGGAUGCCAUGUCGAUAUAGUAAAGGGCUCAUUCAGAAUUUUCAGUUCCGACAGCCAUGUGAAUUGAAUCUUUAGACAUGGGUCAUAAUCUGAUGAUGGCAUGCUGUUCCUCUGA